AUUGAACGCUGGCGGCAUGCCUUACACAUGCAAGUCGAGCGGCAGCGCGGGGGCAACCCUGGCGGCGAGCGGCGAACGGGUGAGUAAUACAUCGGAACGUGUCCAGUAGGCGGGGGAUAACCUGUCGAAAGAUAGGCUAAUACCGCAUACGACCUACGGGUGAAAGGCGGGGACCGCAAGGCCUCGCACUAUUGGAGCGGCCGAUGUCGGAUUAGCUAGUUGGCGGGUAACGCCCACAAGGCGACGAUCCGUAGCUGGUCUGAGAGGACGACCAGCCACAC
rnacentral:rRNA from 1 species